AUUGAACGCUGGCGGCAUGCCUUACACAUGCAAGUCGAACGCGAAAGAGGGGCAACCCUUGAGUAGAGUGGCGAACGGGUGAGUAACGCAUCGGAACGUAUCCAGUAGUGGGGGAUAACCCAUCGAAAGAUGGGCUAAUACCGCAUACGCCCCGAGGGGGAAAGUGGGGGAUCCGCAAGGACCUCACGUUAUUGGAGCGGCCGAUGUCCGAUUAGCUAGUUGGCGGGGUAAGAGCCCACCAAGGCGACGAUCGGUAGCUGGUCUGAGAGGAUGAUCAGCCACACUGGGACUGAGACACGGCCCAGACUCCUACGGGAGGCAGCAGUGGGGAAUUUUGGACAAUGGGGGCAACCCUGAUCCAGCCAUGCCGCGUGAGUGAAGAAGGCCUUCGGGUUGUAAAGCUCUUUCGGCCGGAACGAAAUCGCAUCUCUUAACACGGGGUGUGGAUGACGGUACCGGAAGAAGAAGCACCGGCUAACUACGUGCCAGCCGCCGCAGUAAUAC
rnacentral:rRNA from 1 species